UCACAUCGGAAAGCGAUUUUGGCUAAUUCAAGUUUCCAACCAAGAUGUCAAUAGACAAAUACGCUAAACAGACUUUAUUUACACUUAAUAAUGUAAUUAAGUUUUGCGUGUCCGUUUCCUUGAUGAUGGUUUCAAUAACGAUAAAAAGUAUGGUUCACCGCCUCUAACUUAAGAGCAAGUCUUUUCACUUCUCCAGCAGUUUAUUUGGUGCCAACAUAGGACAAAUAUGAAGCAGCUAUCUGAUCUCUCC
rnacentral:lncRNA from 1 species